AUAAAUGCAAUGAAGAGAAGAGUAAGUGUGCUCAAGCAUAACAGAGAACUCCAGCAGCUGAAAAUGGAGGAUGUAAUAGCCCACUGAACCAAGUCUUGGAGCAACGCAUAGGAAUUUCGUCUAGAUAUUGAUUAUGUGUCGGUUUCUCCCGUUAUCGAGAUAGAGUAUAAACAUUUGUUUCAUUAUGUCGUACUCGAAAAGGUUUCUGUGGUGACACAGGAAUAAACUGGGGUGGUACCGCGAACUUCUAAAUAUAAGGAGUCUCGUCCCUAAG
rnacentral:ncRNA from 1 species